rnacentral:tRNA from 1 species
GGAGAGGUGUCCGAGUUGGCCGAAGGAGCGCGACUGGAAAUCGCGUAGACGGUGUUGAGCCGUCUCGUGGGUUCGAAUCCCACCCUCUCCG